rnacentral:rRNA from 1 species
UAGGGAAUAUUGGGCAAUGGAAGCAAUUCUGACCCAGCCAUGCCGCGUGCAGGAAGACAGUCCUAUGGAUUGUAAACUGCUUUUAUUAUAGAGUAACCGGGGGUACGUGUACCCUCCUGCAAGUAUAUAAUGAAUAAGCAUCGGCUAACUCCGUGCCAGCAGCCGCGGUAAUACGGAGGAUGCAAGCGUUAUCCGGAUUUAUUGGGUUUAAAGGGUGCGCAGGCGGAUCGGUAAGUCAAGGGUGAAAAUCUACUGCUUAACAGUAGUCGUGCCAAUGAUACUGCCGGACUAGAGUGUAAGAGGUGUAACUGGAAUGUGAUGUGUAGCGGUGAAAUGCUUAGAUAUGUCACAGAACGCCGAUCGUGAAGACAGGUUACAAACUUACAACUGACGCUCAUGC